CCUACGGGAGGCUGCAGUGAGGAAUAUUGGUCAAUGGCCGAGAGGUUGAACCAGCCAAGUCGCGUGAGGGAUGACGGCCCUACGGGUUGUAAACCUCUUUUGUCGGGGAGCAAAGAGAGUCACGUGUGGCUCAUUGAGAGUACCCGAAGAAAAAGCAUCGGCUAACUCCGUGCCAGUAGCCGCGGUAAUACGGAGGAUGCGAGCGUUAUCCGGAUUGAUUGGGUUUAAAGGGUGCGCAGGCGGAGGUGCAAGUCAGUGGUCAAAUUGCGGGGCUCAACCCCGUACUGCCGUUGAGACUGCAUCCCUUGAGUGCGCGAGAAGUAUGCGGAAUGCGUGGUGUAGCCGUGAAAUGCAUAGAUAUCACGCAGAACUCCGAUUGCGAAGGCAGCAUACCGGCGCGCAACUGACGCUCAUGCACGAUAGCGUGGGUAUCGAACAGGAUUAGAUACCCUUGUAGUC
rnacentral:rRNA from 1 species